rnacentral:rRNA from 1 species
AACGAACGCUGGCGGCGUGUUUAAGACAUGCAAGUCGCACGGGGCGGAUCAGGUAGCAAUAUUUGGUUCGUUCAGUGGCGCACGGGUGAGUAACACGUGAAUCACAUGCCCUUCAGUGGGGGAUAGCCCAGGGAAACUUGGAUUAAUACCCCAUGGUCUCGCAAGAGUAAAGGCGGCCGUUAAGGCAGUCGCUGGAGGAUUGGUUCGCGCCCUAUCAGCUUGUUGGCGGGGUAACGGCCCACCAAGGCUACGACGGGUACCUGGUCUGAGAGGACGAUCAGGCACACUGGAACUGAGACACGGUCCAGACACCUACGGGUGGCAGCAGUCGAGAAUAAUUCACAAUGGGGGCAACCCUGAUGGUGCAACGCCGCGUGGAGGAUGACGGUCUUCGGAUUGUAAACUCCUGUCAUCCGGGAGUAAGACCUGGCGGUUAACAGCCGACAGGG